rnacentral:rRNA from 1 species
UAGUGUGCCGAUUGUCGCGCCAGCGGCAUUGUCGGGUAGCUAUGUUCGGUUGGGAUAACCGCUGAAAGCAUCUAAGCGGGAAGCCUGCCUCAAGAUGAGAUCUCCCGGACCGUAAGGUCCCUAAAGGCCACUCGAAGACUACGAGUUUGAUAGGCUGGGUGUUGAAGGAUCGUAAGAUCUGUAGCUAACCAGUACUAAUCGGCCGUGAGGCUUAACUAU